rnacentral:rRNA from 1 species
CCCUACGGGGCGCAGCAGGCGCGAAAACUUUACAAUGCUGGAAACAGCGAUAAGGGGACCUCGAGUGCCAGGUUACAAAUCUGGCUGUCGUGAUGCCUAAAAAGCAUUGCAUAGCAAGGGCCGGGCAAGNCCGGUGCCAGCCGCCGCGGUAACACCGGCGGCUCGAGUGGUAACCGUUAUUAUUGGGUCUAAAGGGUCUGUAGCCGGCCGGAUAAGUCUCUUGGGAAAUCUGGCAGCUUAACUGUCAGGCUUUCAGGAGAUACUGUCUGGCUCGAGGCCGGGAGAGGUGAGAGGUACUUCAGGGGUAGGGGUGAAAUCCUGUAAUCC